AUCUUCUUUGAGAUAACAAUCAAAUAAAAUAGACCCUAAAUACUUAACACAAAAAAUCUAGGGAUCAAUGGACAAAAUACACAAAAUACACCUAAACCCGAUUCUUCUUCUUAAGCUUACAUCAGCAUGAAAAACCAAAAACCCUAGCAACCUAGACUUCAUCUCCAUGACAGCCGCUUAACACCAAGGACGACCACCCCUGUAUUAUCGUCUUCCUCACACCCCAUCUUCGGAUAAGAACGCAUCAACCAAAACCCAACAGACACCAUCGUUUGCUUCAUCUCCUCCAGCGAACAAAGCCAACGCCGAGCACUCAUUCGACCAGACUGCCCGAAACACACACACACACAACCGUUGAUAAUCUUUGACUCGCCGGAAAACACUAACACAUAACCCACACACGUACAGAAACAAGAGAGGGACAGUAGUGAACCAGGUAAGCUUUUGUGAGCAUGUGAGGAACGAAGUAAAGGCGACGAGUUUCACUCUGGAAUCAAUGGACCAGUAGAUUCGAUUUAGCUUUGUUUGAGAUUCUGGCGCCAGCCAGAACUUCGCCAGUUAGGAAUUUCUAAACACGUAUGUGUACAAAGAAGGAAAACGUUUUUUUGUGUGUUUGUUCUGGUUUUCAGAUUCUACACGUUGCGAUUCUUAUUUAGUUUCCUAAUUUAGAUAUAAGAAUUAGUUCUAUUAGACUUUACAAUUAAAAAGAAAAAUACAGAAAAAAGACAAAUUGGUUCUUCUGUUAAUUUUGAUUUCAAAGAUGGAAUUGGUUUGAGAUAUUUGAUACGGAGUUACGUCUUGAGUUCGAAUAUGUCCACGAAGAUGUUUCUGUUCUUCAUUUGGUUAUGAUUUUUGGUUUUUCAAGUAUAGGAGUGGAGUUAAGUCGAGGUGGAUUCGAGUUCGUCGCCGGUUUUAGAUUUUCGAUGCCGAUUUGGGUUCCCAUAUGCGAUUCGUCACAUUUGAGUUCAAAACAGUGAAACAAUCAUUCUUUCUGCUAUAUUGAGG
rnacentral:lncRNA from 1 species